rnacentral:lncRNA from 1 species
CUACAUGGAAGACUCUUAUUCCUCCCUGCAUAUUCCCCGUUAGCCCUUUUAUGUUUGUGUAGGUAGGAAAGGCAAGAUCUAGGAACACUAAUGGCUCAGAGGUCAUACUGCUUUACCCUACACUUUAUUUUUCACAUAGGAUACAUCAGUGUGGGCCGGCAGAAGGAGGCUGCACAUUGGCCACUCUUAGAACCCAGGACAGCUUCCUUUUGCAGAGCUAAGCUUCCAACUGUGUUGAGGCCUACACAUAAUGAAGUGGAAUGUGACACAGCAAGGGAGAAGAAAGGAAAUGCUUGUUUAUGUCUUUAAUACAUUGCUUCUGCCAAACCCAAACGAUGUCUGGCUGCCUCGUGACAGUGCAGAGUAACUGCGCGGGAAGUGGGCCGGAUGAACACUCCUUUAGCAUCGUCACUGCAGUUCCAGGGAAUCCUUUGCCCUCCUCUGGUCUUCAUGUUUACAGAACCUGUUGUGGAACACCUAAUUUUUCUUUCCUCUCAUGUCAAAACAAGUGGAAAACCUGUCAGAGAUUAAACUGGAAAAAAAAAAAGAAGAAGAAGAAGCUGGCAAGACAAUAGAAGAACUGCAAACAAUGUCGUCUGCCUUUGCCAAGAUAUAAAUACAAAAGAAACGUCUGAAAGGACCAUGUACGGUAUCAAAUUAUCUGCAAAGUAAUGACUUAUAUUCUCCAUUCCCUGGCUGGGUGACUCAACCAACUGGAAAGUGAAGCAGUUGGUGUCUAGUUACCCCACAAUGAGGACGAAAGACAGGGGUCUGGGAAGAGCUUAUCUCAUCAGCCAUCUCAGGAGCGUCUCCCCUUUCUUAACACCCUUGUGUCAGAGCUGCAGAGGGAAACAGGAGGUGAGACUUGGAGGUAGGAGUUUCGAUCUCAGAACAUCUGCAGGAACCUGAUCGUGGCUGGAGGACCCGAUAUGGAAGGAAUGACAUGUAAGCCGAUUUAAGUCAUCUCUAAUUCCAACACCACGCUGGUGAAUGAUCUCAUGACCUCAGAGAGAAAAAGAAAACAAGGACAGCAGAACAGAAACUCGAAGAUUUAAGAAAGUGAAGUCAUGACGGGAUAUUGAACAAUGUCUGAGGUAAAGGCAAAAGAGAGUCCCAGACAGGUCUGGAGCGCUAUGUUCAACCCAAGGAGGUAUCUGAAUGAACAACAAAGCUGAAAAAGUCAUGCCAAAUUGAGGAUCAACCUGAGUGUGCUAAUGUCUGGGCAUCCCUGCAAGGUGAGCUCCUGAGCCAAGUAUCCAGUGACUUCAUUCUGAAACUCUCCAUGGACCCAAGACCUAGGAUGGGUUGUAAUGGAUGGCUAAGCACACAGCAACAUUUAUGUCACUGGAUGAGUCUGCCUAGCGUUUGAAGUUUAUAAUGAAAACUAUAAUCAGUAACAGGGUGAUUCUCAGUGCUUGCCCCUAACGUUGCCUAGCCAAGAACAUGGAGGAUAAAGGUUUUGAGGUGUCUAUGGAAAUUGGCAUCUUCUAUGAGGAUGACGGAGGUAGAAGUUAAAUAAUAAUUCCAGGGUGUGAAAAGGAAAAGGUAAAACUAUGUUCUGAUUCCCGGAAUUUGUGAGACUGAAUGCAAAAGAAAACAGAUUAAAAUCAGCCAAGGGAAAAAGACACCCAGGUGUUCACCAUAAAUCAGGUUUGUUCACUUAAAUUAUUCGAUCAAACUGUCAGAAUGUGGUCCAAGGUAAAGAUACCCUUAGGGGAAAAUUUGGGGAAAAUCAGAGGUUGUCUUCUAAGACUCACUUAUUCUUCUUUCAGGUCUUC